UUAAGACAUUAACAGUUACCUCAGCAUCUACAAUCUUAACUAGCACAAUACAAAGUUCAAACAAUAACGAUAAAACUACAAAGGUAUAUACAAAUAAAAAGGAAGUGCAACCUACAGAGGUUGAUAACAAUUUAGAAAAUGCAAAACCUACGGUGCCUCGACCUGAAAAUAGCAUAACCGAACCUCCAACAACCGCCACGACUAAAGCAAAUCCACGGACAGUAGUUUCAACUGCAGUAGAACCCAAAACAGCAGUAGUUUCAAGUACAGUUAAAUCCACAAAGGAAGUUUUAAAAAGUACUAAACCUUCAUUAACAAGAUUAAUUACAACAGUACCUUCUCCGGUUGAGGUAACGUCAAACCAGGACAACAACCUAAUAUUAGAAUUCACAGAACCGGAUCCAACACAGUAUGGAUGCUCUGAAAAAGAAGGAUGUGAGGAUUUCUCUGAAGGUUUAGAUCAAUUUUAUGAAAAACGCAAUCCAAAAGUAGCUAUACCAAGAGCAAUAAAUAAACUACAGGAUAUUAAAUGGCACGGAAUCAGACCAAGGGGAGAUCCUUUAUGGCAAAGAGCCAUACAUAAUACAUGGUAUACAACAUCAUGGUAUACUGUCAGGGAGUUAACUAAAAAUGAUUGCUUAGUCUGUACUGUUGCUCCGGGAGCAGUACCUAUGGUUAUUCCAGAAAAAUACACAUCAAAAGAAUGUGCAGUUGUGCAGCGUAAAAAAUGUACCAAUGGUGAGUUCACUUCAAGAGAAGACGCAGUGUCAUUUUUUAAAUUACCUAUGUGUGGUUUGAGUUGUAGACUCUUAUAUGGUUCAAGAAACUCUCAUCAAUACUUAGAAAAAUGGAAAGGGUAUAAAUUAGAAUCAUUGUGUGCAGAAUUUAACAUUAGUACUACAGAUAAUGUUCCACCUACUGAUUAUGACAUAGAUUAUGAUGCAGACUACGAAUGUUUCGUUAGUGGAGGUUUUGAGGACAAUGAAGGAAUUAAUGUAGGAAACACCACUGUGAAAUGUAAUGUAACCUGGGUGUUAUCUUGGUUUAAGCAUGCAAAUGUAACACCAGUGUUUGCUACAAAGCCCGUUUGGUUUGAAAACCCAGAAUUUGUAGAAGAGGACUGUAAAAAUAUAACUAUGACUUUUCCCAAACUUUUCUUUUUAGGAGAUCAAACGUAUCCAGUGGCAGACAGUUACUGGAUGUGUGGUGAUGACAUGCUAAUGAACACUUUACCACUGAAGUGGAUUGUGGGGACAAUGUAUAGAUGGAUGACAUCAGGCAGCAGCCAUCCGAAGGGCUGAUCCCCGGCCGCCUGGACACGUCCAUGGACUCAUGCGUGUGCUACAGACUCAUGCCACAUGAAAAGGAGCCCCGUGAUCGGGGUGGACUUUUUUUUUGUUUUGCUACGUGUCCAGGAACUCAUUCAAGCCAAGCACACAAACUGAAGAUGACUAACCCUAUUAACCUUGUUUAAGUUACUCAAUAAAUAAAUAAAUAAAAUACAAUACAAUGAAGCUUUGAUAGAUAAGGCAGCACAGGCGGCCGGUUAGGUUAGUUUAAACUAUUAUAACAUUAGAUUCUAACAUCCAUUUCGUUUUUAAUCCUGCGUAUCAAUAUUAUUAGCAAGAUAAUUUACAUAUGUUGUUUGUUGUUUGUAUUAUGAUGUUUUGUUAUUAUAUCAUGCUUAUGUACUCUUUUUAUAUGACAAGUGCUGGAUGUCAUUGCGAAUAGCAUGGCUGACUUCCAAUUGAUGCCGUCGGUCAGGUGACCGAUGAUAACGGCGGAUGCUCAGAGGUAUAAGAGGUCCAUGAAAGACUUUUUCCCCGAGAAUGAUACAUAAAUAAGUGACAAUUAUCGGGGGUUUUUCACUUUCAUAUCUAAUUGGACGGAUGUUACUGCGAAAGCAAUGACUGUUUUGCAUACGUGCACUCUCUCUCUGACUCUCUCUCUCUAUUAUUGGAAAUAUGUUAUUGAUUGUAAUCUGCACUUAUUACAUGACGUUUUAUAUCAGCGCUUGUGUAGACACCAUGAUUACAUUAGUAUGUUAUCCAUUGGUAAGAAAUUAGAUCUUUUUUACAUGUUGUUAUUAUCACAGCUAGACUUGAUCAGUGUGGAGUCAGAUUUUCAAUGAAGAGGUCUUCUAGAUAUGUCACGCUGUAACGUGCCAAGGGAGGAUUUAUGGGAGUUAGGGUCAUUUUGACCUUUUUCCCUGGCUCUCGCCGAUGGGAGUAAAAGAGGAAACAUCUGGAGUCGUUGUUUAAUAGGACUGUUCCAAGAUAUGUCAAGUAGUGGAAUUAAUCGCUCUGUUGUUGUACUUUUUGUGAUAAACACUUCCCAGAAUUUAAGCCCUGUUGCCAAUUGACGUCAAUAGCGUGUAACGCACACACACCAAUGGAGACACACAGACACUUGUGUUUAACGCACACACAUUAUGAGCCUUUAAAAUGGCAAGCUUUGUAUUUGAAUGUCAGAAUUCGCUCCUGAAACCCGUUUGUACGUUUCUAGGCAUAAUAAAGACGAAUUCUCAUUGUUAA